UACGGGAGGCAGCAGUGAGGAAUAUUGGUCAAUGGCCGAGAGGCUGAACCAGCCAUGCCGCGUGCGGGAGGACGGCCCUAUGGGUUGUAAACCGCUUUUUUGUGGGAGCAAUAAGGGUCACGUGUGACCUGAUGAGAGUACCAUGAGAAUAAGCAUCGGCUAACUCCGUGCCAGCAGCCGCGUAAU
rnacentral:rRNA from 1 species